rnacentral:rRNA from 1 species
GUUAAGUGGGAAACGAUGUGGGAAGGCCCAGACAGCCAGGAUGUUGGCUUAGAAGCAGCCAUCAUUUAAAGAAAGCGUAAUAGCUCACUGGUCGAGUCGGCCUGCGCGGAAGAUGUAACGGGGCUAAACCAUGCACCGAAGCUGCGGCAGCGACACUAUGUGUUGUUGGGUAGGGGAGCGUUCUGUAAGCCUGUGAAGGUGGCCUGUGAGGGUUGCUGGAGGUAUCAGAAGUGCGAAUGCUGACAUAAGUAACGAUAAAGCGGGUGAAAAGCCCGCUCGCCGGAAGACCAAGGGUUCCUGUCCAACGUUAAUCGGGGCAGGGUGAGUCGACCCCUAAGGCGAGGCCGAAAGGCGUAGUCGAUGGGAAACAGGUUAAUAUUCCUGUACUUGGUGUUACUGCGAAGGGGGGACGGAGAAGGCUAUGUUGGCCGGGCGACGGUUGUCCCGGUUUAAGCGUGUAGGCUGGUUUUCCAGGCAAAUCCGGAAAACCAAGGCUGAGGCGUGAUGA